GUAUAGGAGUUACACAGGCUAUAGUACACACAUAUUUGUUUGUACUCCGUAUGAACCAUGCUUUAUGUGGACUGUGUUUCACAGUUUGUCAUCUAGAGCGAUGCUCUUUAGUGAAGUGAAGUCUCGGCUGGUCAACUAGCUUCCAACCAACCCAAGUUAGUUGACAAUUGAGAGAAUGCGCGUGCUAACGUUUGCGUCAUAGCCAUAACCCGGACGUGAAGAGCACUGGGGAAAAACUCCGAUCCGGUCGAAGGAAAGACCAAGGAGAGCGAUCGCUUCUGCUCGAGAGCCCGGAGACUUCGAGGCACCACAAAGACAGAGCAGCUCCAAGCAAGCGGCCGCACACACCUCCAGACGUGGAGACGUGAGACAUCUGGGCCAGCCAUGGCAGAUCCAGCCCUCACAGAUGCCUGAUGCACUUUGAUCUUACCCAGGGUUGAAGGGCCUGUGUGUGAGGACAGCGCGGGCUCCUUGACCACCGCGGCGUACCCCCACACCACCCCUGCACCCCCCCCACCCCACCCCCAUAUCUUCUGGGAGUGCUUUCAGUCCGGCGUGCUGGAGAAAGGGGCCAGCCUCUGGAGCACAGCAGUGGCGGAGGCUGUGUGUGUGUGUGUGAGAGAGAGAGCGUGUGUGGCUGCUUAGAAAGUGUGUGUGUGUGUGAGAGAGAGAGCGUGUGUGGCUGCUUAGAAAGUGUGUGUGUGUGUGUGAAAGAGGAAAAUAG